rnacentral:rRNA from 1 species
GAUGAACGCUGGCGGCGUGCCUAACACAUGCAAGUCGAGCGCGAUUGUUUGGACUGGAGGCUUCGGCCAAAGGGAAGAACAUGAAAGCGGCGGACGGGUGAGUAACGCGUGAGCAACCUGCCUUGUACAGGGGGAUAGCCACUGGAAACGGUGAUUAAUACCCCAUAAUUCCGAGAGACCGCCUGGUCACUCGGACAAAGCUUUGGCGGUACAGGAUGGGCUCGCGUCUGAUUAGCUAGUUGGUGAGGUAAUGGCUCACCAAGGCAUCGAUCAGUAGCCGACCUGAGAGGGUGAACGGCCACACUGGAACUGAGACACGGUCCAGACUCCUACGGGUGGCUG